CCGCCAAGCGCCCGGGAAAGAGAACGGGUCAACGCGAGCUCGAACCACGUUCAGUUCAGUAAUUCAGAGUAUACAGUUAAGGAGUUGGCAAUGGCUCUCAGAGCAUACCUUCGUUACAUAGCACUUCUUACACACAGCUGUAAUUAGCUUUCUAAUCUACAGAGCUAGAAACAGAUAUGUGACACUUAGAGUAAGACAUUAUGUGGCCUUCAGCGUGCCGUCUCUUUAAUUCACGUGUCUCUCCACAGUUACAUUGGCCCAGUCCCACGAAGAAGUUGAAGAUGCUUCACACUUGAGAGUUCGUCGUGGCUUUGGCUGUCCAUUCAACCAGUAUGAGUGUCACAGCCACUGCGCGUCCAUUCAAGGAUACAAGGGCGGAUACUGCGACGAAUUCUUGAAAAUGAGAUGCAAGUGCUACUGAAAUAUGUACGCGUGUUUAAGGAAGACGAUGGGACUAAAUAAAUGACGUUAUAAUGCUUCCCUUGC